UAUGAACCUGCGGAAGGAUCAUUG
rnacentral:rRNA from 1 species